AAAUUUUAUUCCGUUAAUGUCAACGCCAAAUAUUUAAUAACAAUGCACAAUGCUUAUCGAUGCCUCGAGUAAGAGGUAAGACGGCUUAUCAUAUCUUAUGUAAAUGAUAAUAGUGUUUAUUAGUGAUUUUUACAAUUAUUAAUAUUGCUCAAUAUUUUGAAGUAAGAGUAUUAAGAAGUAAUGCAGAUUAUCAGUGCUUCGAAUAAGACAUAAUAUUAUAAAAUUACAGACAAUAUCUUUAUUGGGCAUCUAAAAGAGGAAAUGUCAAAUUCAAAAUAAUUUGUACUUGGCAAUCCAUAAACUAUUUUCCAGUGUUGUGUUGCAAUUUUAUAUAUCAAUCAUAUAUUUUAUAAAAUAUAGUAUCACGGAAUGAAUUCGUGAGAUAUCUUUAUAUCUGUCACUCGUUCAACUAUCACUGCUCUUGUACUUGCGCUAUUCAUGAUGAACAAAUUAUACAGAAUCGCUUAUAAGUCGACAAAUAUACUUCCAGAGGCGACAAUCUGUGGAUCCAUAAGAAUUGAAACUCUCUCUUUACUUUCACAAAUGCAAGAAGAAAACCAUAUUAGAGACUACAAAAUACAAACACAUAAUUUAACAGUAAUGAAUAAUUAUUCUGAUGCACAGGAUGACCCCAAAAAUUUCAGAUCAAAAAGAUUUUUGAGGAGAAGAUGAAUAAUUAAACAAAGAUUUGACGCUUUUCUUCGGAUUUGAUCAUCCAUCGAUAGCCUUCUUAUUAUAAAAUUUUAACUUCUUUGUCAUUGAAGGUGGGCCAUUGAGUUUCGAAAACAAGAUACUAAUUAUCUCAGUCUUAAAGAGUUGUAGAUUAGAUGAUUUAGAAUUGCAUUGAUUUUCAUCUUUAUUCCCAUAUUCGAACAAGAUGCAAGUAUGUAUAAAUGUAGUUCCACGUAAAUGUAGUUUCGCGUAAAAAUUUGCAUAGAAGCUUCAGACGUCGUUAGCGGCUAGCCUUAUAUUUCGUAUUAUACGUGAUUUUUUACAAUGUUUUUUUUAAUAGUCUUAUUGUACUCUUGCGUAGUUAU